ACUAAGUUUUCAUGGCUUUCCGACCCAUUCCGACUUGAGAAGACAAUGGCUGGUAAACAUACGCCGGGAUCAUUUCACGAUUACCUCUCACACCAGGGUCUGCAGCAGACACUUUGCCAGUGAUCAACUCAUAGAGCCAACAACCCUUGAUGGUCGAAGGCGGCUUAUUAAAGGGGCUGUACCAACACUUUUUGAGUGGAAUGGCUAUAAAGUUGAACCACCGCGGCGUAGUGUUUGGGAGAGAACGGAGCGACGCCCUGAACUAGUUCCUCCUGACGAUCAAGAAGAGCACAGUCUUACAAGAGAUCAUGACUACUGCUCAGUCCCUGAGCCGUCUGCAUUGGACAUAUCUGCAUCAGCUGCAGAAGACCUGUCCAAAGACGUGGAGACUCUGAGGAAGGAAAUACAGGAGUUACGUGUCCAGCGAGAAUUUGGGUUACAGCGUUUUGCUGGCUCCGACACUGACAUCCGAUUCUAUACCAGAUUUCCAAGCUAUGAUCAUUUGAUGGCAUUUUGGUUUUUGAUUGAGCCUUGCAUCUAUAAAAUGAUCCGGGUUUCAAGAGCCAAAUCAGCUGCCAAUAGGAACGAAGAAGUGUUGACACCUGCACGCACAUCAACGAGGCAGCUGCUACAGCCAAUUGACGAGUUCUUUCUUUUCCUGGUUUUCCUGUCAGUUGGUUUGAAGGAGAGGGACCUGGCACACCGAUUUAACAUACACCAGU